UCACAGUUGUAACGUUAAUGGUAGUUAACGUUAUGUCAUGAGCGAGCGUUACUUAUUUUGAGUUUCAGUGAUAAUUAACGCUAUAUUUGUUUAACUUUACCGCCUGAGGCAGGAAGUCAUUCGGGGUACAGAGAACUUUUUGGAUUGCUCCCUCGUGAAAACAGAAAUACUCAAGUAUGCAAGAGAGGGUGGAGGCUGAGAAGAAUGCCACUUCCCACAAUGUUGGUUGGGUGAAUCUGAGUUUAGAUUUGAAAAAUUGAAGUGUGUACUUACAAGAAUGUGGGGUUUCACACCUUUGGGAUGAAGACAGUUUUGUUUUUUUCUGAACUGAGGGAGUUUUGCUGGUCCUUGCUUCUCUAAGGGGCUAAAAUUGGUGUUUAUUGUCAUGAUGUUUAGAGAGUCAAUGUCCCCCAUAAGGAUAAAAAAAAGAUGCAUGUGUUUGUGCAUGCAUUACCGAGAUUCUGACAUUACGAGCAGUAUAGCCCGUCACAGAUGAUUAUUCACAGUCUUCUCUUAAUUAACCCAUGUAAGACUAUUAUGAGUUGCAAAGUCUCUUUAUGGCCCUCUCCUCUAUUCCCUAGAAACACAGAAUCAAUAUCCAGCUUUGGGGCUGUAGCCUUCCAUCAAUAAGUCAUUUAAUCAAUAAUCCCCAGAGAAUACUGCCUCGCGUCUGUUUUUAUAAGCCCAGGUUUUACGUUGGACUACAGUACUAGAAGCAAACGGACAGAAUGAGUAGUUAGAGAAAGUCAGUGGGUUAUCUGAACGAAACUAUUGAAUUAUGACUCUUUGAGUGUGUAUAUGAGCAAUGAAACCAUUUUAAUUGUGACAAAAAAUGCAUCAGUAGUGAUUUUUUUCACUUACAGUAGAUGAUACCGAAAGACCAAUAAGGAACAAUAUGCAUUUUUCUAUUAUUUAUGUAUCUUUAUUAAAAUCUCUGAGAAAAUGA